rnacentral:rRNA from 1 species
GCAAGUCGAGCGGCANCGGGCAGAGUAGCUUGCUACUUUUGCCGGCGUAGCGGCNGACGGGCUGAGUAAUGUCUGGGAACUUGCCCAUUCCAGGGGGAUAACUAUUGCGAAACNAUAGCUAAUACCGCAUACNCCCGUGCAGGGGGAAAGGUGGCCGCAAGGCUAUCGCGAAUGGAUAGGCCCAGAUGGGAUUAGCUAGUUGGUGAGGUAAUGGCUCACCNANGCGACGACCCCUANCUGGUCUGAGAGGAUGAUCACCCACACUGGAACUGANACACGGUNCAUACUCCUACNGGAGGCAGCAGUGGGGAAUAUUGCACAAUGGGGGAAACCCUGAUGCAGCCAUGCCNCGUGUGUGAAGAAGGCCUUCAGGUUGUAAAGCACUUUCANCAAGGAGGAAAGGUCAGUAGCUAAUACCUGCUGGCUGUGACNUUACUCACANAAGAAGCACCGGCUAAUUCCGUGCCANCAGCCGCGGUAAUACGGAGGGUGCAAGCGUUAAUCNGAAUUACUGGGCGUAAAGCGCACGCAGGCGGUUGGAUAANUCANAUGUGAAAGCCCCGANCUCAACUUGNGAAUUGCAUUUGAAACUGUCUANCNANAGU